CUGCUUUGGGCCUGGUUCAGUGUGUGUAGGGAACCAAUCUGCCCGGCAAUGGCAAUUGUAGCUCAGCCCCAUUGAAAAGCCCAAUAGGUGCAUUGUGGCACGCAGGAGCCAAAUUCACAGAUUGAUUCUCCCAUAGGAAACCAGGCCUGCAUUAUACCUGGGCUGCUUUGUGACUUGCUCUUGCUAAAACUCCCUCACCCUGUUGAGGCAGAAAAUGCUUACUGCAUACCUUUAAAGUAACUUCCUGAAGUCUGUGCUAACUCUCCCAAGGACUAAAGUGUAACCAGACCAAUUACUCUUAUC